UAGGGAAUCUUCCGCAAUGGACGCAAGUCUGACGGAGCAACGCCGCGUGAGUGAAGAAGGAUUUCGGUUCGUAAAACUCUGUUGUUAGAGAAGAACAGCGCAUAGAGUAACUGUUAUGCGUGUGACGGUAUCUAACCAGAAAGCCACGGCUAACUACGUGCCAGCAGCCGCGGUAAUACGUAGGUGGCAAGCGUUGUCCGGAUUUAUUGGGCGUAAAGCGAGCGCAGGCGGUCAAUUAAGUCUGAUGUGAAAGCCCCCGGCUCAACCGGGGAGGGUCAUUGGAAACUGGUUGACUUGAGUGCAGAAGAGGAGAGUGGAAUUCCAUGUGUAGCGGUGAAAUGCGUAGAUAUAUGGAGGAACACCAGUGGCGAAGGCGACUCUCUGGUCUGUAACUGACGCGGGGGUUCGAAAGCGUGGGUAGCAAACAGG
rnacentral:rRNA from 1 species